GUCAUCCCUCUGCCACUGCGUCUGUCUUCCAAAAUCUGGCGGCGCACACAACCAAUUCGCCGCCGGGCCCCCACCUCUCCACCCGCAUGGCCGAUCUGUGAACAGAGCAAGCAUCAAUGGAGUAGGUUCCUCCUAAUCUUUCCACUCCCCUCUCUCCUUUGGAUCAAGCUCCCUCCACCUGGAGGAAGGGCUGAAGCCGGGUCGAUUCCGUCGUGCGUCAGAGCUUAGAGGCGUCACCGCCGGGGCGCGUCACCGGGCCACGCGCCGAGAGAGCAGCGCGGUUACUAGCUGCACAUUGGAGCCUUGGAGGUUGCUGGCUCGCAGCAGGCUGGGGCUGCUGGACAUGGAGAUCAGAUGGAGCAUAAGUCAGCGAGUACUUCAAUCUCAAGUUCGAGCUCCCCGUCCAGCCCCAUGUCUUCGUCUUCACAUGAAUCAGUCUUCUACUAUAUUUAGAGGUGGAUGCAAAUUUCUGCACAAUCUUCGGCUUUCUUGAUGUUGCACUGAUUAUGUAAUCUGCGUAUGGGUUGAUAAUGAGUUAUAAAGCUCGGGUUGUCUAAACCUGAAAAUUCAGUGAGGUGUAAAUGUACAGUUCACUAUUAUACUUCAACAUGAUCAGGUGUUGUUCUUUCCCCUCUCGCACUUAUGAGAUCAUUACUUUGUACCCCCUCUUAAAGAAAUAUAAGAGUGUUUAGAUCACUGUAAUUACUAUUCUUAUUCCAUCAUAUUCCGUAUCAAGCCGAUAUCUCUUGUACAAUAGUCGUUUUCGCAAAUAAAUAUUUUAUGGUAUGUUUUUUUUCAUCAAGCUGAUAUCCCAUUAUGAUAUGUUUUUUGCUUUGCACAUGCAGGAUGCCUUUAAUCAAAAGGAUUGGUUUAGUCAACCCAUAAGAUUGAUUCAUUACCUUGGAGUUCCAGAGGGAUUUUGUGUAGCAUGUUCUUCAGGUACUACAUGUUUAUCUUGCUAAGAAUGAUUCAAGUAUGAGUUUUCUAGACUACUUGUUGUAUAUCAGUGAAUGAUACAGUUAGUUUUGAAAAUUUAUCUCUCUUUUGGCUUAUUUGUAUAUUUGAAUGUUUGAAAAAAUAAAGUUAGUUCGUCAGAUCCUUCUUUGUGUGGGUUUUGUAGGUUACUUGAUGGUAGGAAAAUGUUUGUGACUCCAAAUUUAAUAGGUUAAGAGGAUAGUAUCUUAAUCAUUUAGACUUUUGCUGCCUACGUAAGGGAAACAUGAGUGUGUGGUUAUGAGAUUCAUGCUAAUAAAUCAUUAUCCGAGAUCUCUCAUUUGCUUAUCAACUGUUAUCUUUUUAUAUAUCUUAUAAUUGUCACACUACUUGGUUCCUUUCAUUCCAUCCUAAUUUUAGAGAUCUAUCACUUGCUUUCACAAUGUCACUGUCUUUUUAGACAUCUCUUAAUUUUUGGCCACUUCUUAGUUAAUUCCUUUCCAAGUUAAUAUAUGAGGUAGUUUUAUGGGCUGUAGAGUAUCUUGAUUCUACUAUUUCCCCCAGUUAACAGAAAUAAGAUAAAUUGUACAAUUUUUUGACUGAACUAUGAGUUUUUGUGAUAGCUGUGGCCAGUUCUAUACAGUAUGAGCAAAGAGGAAAGAGUGUCCAUUUGAGUGUCGAUGAAGUGAAAGUUGUCAGUUUAAGUUGGUUCCGAGGAUUCAACCUGUUCUAUUCUACUACAGUAUGGGUUGUAGUGACAUAUGUGCAUAAUAUAUAGUACAUAUUCUUCUUGAUUUUUAUGUGGCCCAUGCUAAUAGGCCAUACAGUCUCUAGAGAUGGGAAACGAAUCAUUAAGCAUUUUAGAGAUUGUUGUCCCAUCUUGUAUAGAAAUAACAUAGAUUGCUUCCGUAGCUGAGCGACUACUUCGUCAGCCAAACACCCGGCUCCUGCUGCAAAGAUGUCCACUGUCCAAGACCCGUGCGUAUCAUUAUUCUCCCUGUCUGUGCCGCGCAACAGCAGUUUCCUGUAGCCCUGCCUCCAUCAGCUUCUCCCUCUUCCUUGCAAUCGGACAUCGGCAACAGCAAUAUCUGCACUCACUAUACAGUUGG